rnacentral:rRNA from 1 species
AGUGAACGCUGGCGGUAGUUCUAACCCAUGCCAGUCGAACGGCAGUACUUUAAUAUCUUGCUUUUACGGGUGGCGAGUGGCUGUCGGGUGAGGAAUACAUCGGCAUCUACUUUUUCGUGGUGGAUAACGUAGGGAAACUUACGCUAAUAUCGCAUACGACCUACGGGUGAAAGCAGGUGAUCUUCCGUCCUUGCGCGUUUGUAUGUUCCGAUGUCUGAUUAGCUAGUUGGCGGGGUAAAGGCCCACCAAGGCGACGAUCCGUAGCUGGUCUGAGAGGAUGAUCGGCCACACUGGAACGGAGACACGGUCCAGACUCCUACGGGAGGCAGCAGUCAGGAAUAUUAGACAAUGGGCGCAAGCCUGAUCCAGCCAUACCGCGUGGGUGAAGAAGGCAUUCGGGUUGUAAAGCCCAUUUGUUGGGAAAGAAAAGCAGCAGAUUAAUACGCCGCUGGUAUGAAGGUACCUAAAGAAUAAGCACCGGCUAACUUAGUG